AGCUGAAACACAAUACAGUCUGAGCCUUCAUCUCCACUUCCCCCCUCAUAGGGAGAUACCUACGUAGCUUCUAGAAAAUCCAUGAAGAACAUCCUGAAUUCCUGGUGCCCAUGCAGUCCUCCUCUCUGGGCUCUCAACAGCCUCCUCUCCCUCUCUUCAAAGUUCAAAUCAUCCCUCCUGAACUAACUGCUUACUCACCAGCCCACAUGAGCAACACCACCACAAUGAUGACCACUUCCCCAGUCUGCAGUGGCCGCUCUCCAUCCAGACCUUCCACUGUGAUGUCACCUGAGAAGGGAGAAGGCAGAAGGCAGACUCCAGGUUACUGGGGAAUAGCUAUCUAUGCAGACAUAUGCAGGAUGGAGAUGCUGGGGAUUAGAAAGGGUAGACCCAUCAUAAUGUUGCCCUUGGAGUGUAGGGUAGCCCCUCCCUGGGAGGAAGCCAUUGGUGGACAGGUGGUUAGCGACCAAAAAGCGGGAUGGCUGCAGGUUAAUUACUCACUCAUGCAGGCUGCAGCUGAUGUGAAGUUGAGUAACAGGAAGCUUAAAAGGCCUUCCCCCGAACAACUCAAUACCAGCCUGUCUAUACCCAAUCCCCUUCCCACCUGCUUUUCUUUCCUUUCCUGGCAGUACAAUGAAUUAAAUCAUUCUAUUCAA